rnacentral:rRNA from 1 species
UACAGAGGUCUCAAGCGUUGUUCGGAUUCAUUGGGCGUAAAGGGUGUGUAGGUGGCGCCGUAAGUCGGGUGUGAAAUUUCGGAGCUUAACUCCGAAACUGCAUUCGAUACUGCGGUGCUUGAGGACUGGAGAGGAGACUGGAAUUCAUGGUGUAGCAGUGAAAUGCGUAGAGAUCAUGAGGAAGACCAGUGGCGAAGGCGGGUCUCUGGACAGUUCCUGACACUGAGGCACGAAAGCCAGGGGAGCAAACGGG